rnacentral:rRNA from 1 species
GACGAACCGUGCGAACGUUGUUCGGAAUCACUGGGCUUAAAGGGCGCGUAGGCGGUCGGGCAAGUCCGGGGUGAAAUCCUGCAGCUCAACUGUAGAAGUGCCUUGGAUACUGCCCGGCUCGAGGGAGGUAGGGGUCUGUGGAACUUCUGGUGGAGCGGUGAAAUGCGUUGAUAUCAGAAGGAACGCCGGUGGCGAAAGCGACAGACUGGACCUCUUCUAACGCUGGGGCGCGAAAGCUAGGGGAGCAAACGGG